rnacentral:rRNA from 1 species
GACGAACGCUGGCGGCGUGCCUAAUACAUGCAAGUAGAACGCACAGUUUAUACCGUAGCUUGCUACACCAUAGACUGUGAGUUGCGAACGGGUGAGUAACGCGUAGGUAACCUGCCUGGUAGCGGGGGAUAACUAUUGGAAACGAUAGCUAAUACCGCAUAAUAUUGAUUAUUGCAUGAUAAUUGAUUGAAAGAUGCUAUUGCAUCACUACCAGAUGGACCUGCGUUGUAUUAGCUAGUAGGUGAGGUAACGGCUCACCUAGGCGACGAUACAUAGCCGACCUGAGAGGGUGAUCGGCCACACUGGGACUGAGACACGGCCCAGACGCCUACGGGAGGCAGCAGUAGGGAAUCUUCGGCAAUAGACGAAAGUCUGACCGAGCAACGCCGCGUGAGUGAAGAAGGUUUUCGGAUCGUAAAGCUCUGUUGUAAGAGAAGAACGGGUGUGAGAGUGGAAAGUUCACACUGUGACGGUAACUGACCAGAAAGGGACGGCUAACUACGUG